UACGAAGGGGGCUAGCGUUGCUCGGAAUCACUGGGCGUAAAGCGCACGUAGGCGGCUUUCUAAGUCAGGGGUGAAAUCCUGGAGCUCAACUCCAGAACUGCCUUUGAUACUGGAGAGCUCGAGUCCGGAAGAGGUGAGUGGAACUCCGAGUGUAGAGGUGAAAUUCGUAGAUAUUCGGAAGAACACCAGUGGCGAAGGCGGCUCACUGGUCCGGUACUGACGCUGAGGUGCGAAAGCGUGGGGAGCAA
rnacentral:rRNA from 1 species